rnacentral:lncRNA from 1 species
CAGUGGGAGAUGGCAGAGCCCAGGCCCCCUGACUCCCCAAUCCAGGACUCUUUUCACUGCAUUCCUACUGCCUCUUUUUGGUAUGUAGGUCGGACUCUUCCCAACAUCAGCAUCAAAGCCUGAGGCACGCCUAGAGGAGGACACUGAAGAAGUAGGGUGCUUGGACCAGGCCUCUGGCCAGUGCAGUGUUACAACUGAAAGGAAUCAGGGAUCACCUGAUCUAGUGGUUUUUAACCUGGGUCUAUGAGCUUGGGGUCUUCUUUUGGGACAGGGUCGCCCAGGCUGGGAGUGCAGGGACCACUCACGGGCAGGCCCAGCUCUCAUCAGCACCACAGCCCUGCCCUGGGCCUUCCUCAGACCACCCAAGGUCUAGGGGCCAAACUCAGAGCAGACACCGACUUGACCCAGUUCACUGCAGCUCAGCACCUCUGAGCUCAACCCACCGACUGCCAGUCUUUGCCUCUCUAGUAGCAGGGAUCAUAAGCAUGCCUCACCAUGCCCAGCUGUGAACGUUAAAAACAUUUUGUGAUAACUUUAUCUUGAUGUCAUUGGUUUCCUUUAUAAUCCUAUGGAUUUCAUGCAUUUAAAGCCAUUCUGGGAAGGGGUCUGCAGGCUUCACCAGACUGCCAAGGGGGCCUAUGACAUAGAAGGAGUUCUAGUUCAGAGGGAUGCGAGAUUGAGAGAGAAGUGAAUGACUUAAGGUCAUCAGACAAAAAGAGGCAGAGUUGUGAUUUGAACCCAGGUCUUCUGACUCUUUUGGGGUUAAGAGGCAUGGGCAGGCCAUGCAUCCUACAGGACCCAGAGCAUUGGCUGGAGGCAGGUAAUUGAGAUUGUAGGGUUCUGCAUCAGCCUCUCCCCGAGGACCUCAAAGGACCAUCUGGUGGGCUGGAAGCAGGUCGGGGGAGGAGGCCGUGAUGUUCUCACCAUGGGGACGGGCCCUUGGGAGGGGCCAAUGGGCCUGCUAGGGAGAAAUGUUGCCAUGGCAACUGGAGGGCCCUUGAAAAGCUUCAUCAUAGAAGGGAUUGUGUGCAUGUGUGUGUGUGGGGUGACACUCGGUAGGUCACUCAGUGACCCUCUUGUACCAAAUGGGCUGUGGCUUGCAGUUUCCUCUGGUGCUGGUGGAAGAGGCAAGGCUCACCACCCCAGCGGGCUCCCUCUGGACCAAACCCCUUCCACCGGAGCAAACCCUUUCUGA